rnacentral:rRNA from 1 species
AGCCUGCCCAGUGACAAAAUUCAACGGCCGCGGUACCCUAACCGUGCGAAGGUAGCAUAAUCACUUGUUCUCUAAAUAGGGACUAGUAUCAACGGCAUCACGAGGGCUGUACUGUCUCCUUUCUCCAAUCAGUGAAACUGAUCUCCCCGUGAAGAAGCGGGGAUUAUUAUAUAAGACGAGAAGACCCCAUGGAGCUUUAAACUCAUCACUCACUUCCUCACCUCCAUGCCCGACCAUACAAGGAAUCUGUGUGAUAGUUUUGGGUUGGGGGGACCACGGAGUACAAUUUAACCUCCAUGACAAAUGGGCUAACGCCCUUAUCUAUGAACUACAACUCUAAGAAUCAUAAACUGAUGUUUGAUGACCCGACAAUUCGAUCAACGAACCAAGUUACCCUGGGGAUAACAGCGCAAUCUACUUCAAGAGCCCCUAUCGACAAGUAGGUUUACGACCUCGAUGUUGGAUCAGGGUGUCCUAGGGGUGCAGCCGCUCCUAACGGUUCGUUUGUUCAACGAUUAAAACCCUACGG